rnacentral:rRNA from 1 species
ACGGGCAGGCUAGAGUUCGGUAGGGGAGAUCGGAAUUCCUGGUGUGUCCGUGAAAUGCGCAGAUAUCAGGAGGAACACCGGUGGCGAAGGCGGAUCUCUGGGCCGAUACUGACGCUGAGGAGCGAAAGCGUGGGGAGCGAACAGGAUUAGAUACCCUGGUAGUCCACGCCGUAAACGGUGGGCACUAGGUGUGGGCAACAUUCCACGUUGUCCGUGCCGCAGCUAACGCAUUAAGUGCCCCGCCUGGGGAGUAUGGUCGCAAGGCUAAAACUCAAAGGAAUUGACGGGGGCCCGCGCAAGCGGCGGAGCAUGUGGCUUAAUUCGACGCAACGCGAAGAACCUUACCAAGGCUUGACAUACACCGGAAACGUCCAGAGAUGGGCGCCCCCUUGUGGUCGGUGUACAGGUGGUGCAUGGCUGSUCGUCAGCUCGUGUCGUGAGAUGUUGGGUUAAGUCCCGCAACGAGCGCAACCCUUGUCCCGUGUUGCCAGCAGGCCCUUGUGGUGCUGGGGACUCACGGGAGACCGCCGGGGUCAACUCGGAGGAAGGUGGGGACGACGUCAAGUCAUCAUGCCCCUUAUGUCUUGGGCUGCACGGGUGCUACAAUGGCCGGUACAAUGAGCUGCGAUACCGCAAGGUGGAGCGAAUCUCAAAAAGCCGGUCUCAGUUCGGAUUGGGGUCUGCAACUCGACCCCAUGAAGUCGGAGUCGCUAGUAAUCGCAGAUCAGCAUUGCUGCGGUGAAUACGUUCCCGGGCCUUGUACACACCGCCCGUCACGUCACGAAAGUCGGUAACAGGUUCGGUAUGUGGCCCAACCCAACCCCUUGUGGGAGGGAGCUGUCGAAGGUGGGACUGGCGAUUGGACGAAG